AUUGAUUGAAGAUUUACGUGUCAGCUUCUUUUUCUCUGCAGUUUUGUUUUCCAAUGAAAUGCAUACACCUUGCUGAUGCACCCACCGCCUUGCCUUGAUCUCUAUGAUUCUAUCUCUUCCCAUUCUAUUUUCAGAUACAGAAAGAAGUUUUCUCCACCGAUUACGAUCGUAGAAUAUACGCAGGAGAACCCUUCGACCAAGCCUCUCAAAACCAUAACCUCAUUUUUUUUUUCUGCUUGCUUCUCUCUCUUUCGCCUGUCUCCAGUCCUAUUUCUUCUACUGCUUCGUACAUUCCUCUAGACCACCGCCUUAAUCCUCCAAAACUCUCAAAUGUUUACCACUCGACCACGACGUCAUAGAUUCGUAUCCGUUUCAUGCCCUAUCCAUCAUCGUCAUGCGUCUCGGUUGGAGGAAUCAUCUUCUCCAUGGUCCAAUUGAUUUCAUUGCAACACCCUUUGUGGUUAUAUAUAUAUUGUUUACCCUGUGUAAUUCCUUCUUUUGUGAUGUAAAUUUCUACUUUACGAUGGUAUUAUGUCUCAACAUCUACUUCAAUUGUAGAUUAGUUCGCCACCGCUCAUCUCCCCCUUUACGUAUCAGAUGCCCAACGACUUUCUCUUCUAAAUCCUCAGUCGAUGGGAGUUAGGGUUCGAUUUAGGGAUUGGGCUUAAUUGGCAUCUCAAUCAGCCUUAAAGGGACCAACCCCUAUUGAUCAAUCAGAUGAGGGAUAAAUGUGUUGCCAUCAAGGAUCGAUUGAACUUGUAUCAGGACACUGCCAUUGGGUCUUCAAAAUUUGAGAAAAGGAAAGGCCAAACCCUGUACAGGUUUCUCUUUGAGAAGGAAUAGUAUGAAGUUUAUAAUGCUUACUUCUCAAGAAAAAGUGGUAGGAUGACUGGAGCAAUCGUGAGGUUUUUGUCAUAAUCAAGAAUAAGAAGAAGAAAUGAUGUCGAUCCAACAAUGAAACAGAUGUAUACCAGAAACAUCAAGGAGACAAAUGUGGCUUGAUACCUAAAGAAAAAAACGACCGAUCAUUGGAGAAAAUGGAGAAGGGAGAGGCCAACAGAAAUAUGCAGAGAAUCAACGGAGAUCGGUCGACGGCGAACCAAUCAGUGACAACAAAGGAUGGGCAAAAAUAGGCAGAGAUGGUUUGCUAGCUAACUGAGAAAAUGGAUGUAACGACCCAAAAUUUUGAGGUAAAAAUUUCAUUGAACAAGUUAACGGUGAAGGCUAACAGACCUAGGGCGGUCCGGAUAUAUUGCAGACCCUUCGGGGCAUAUCAAUCAGGCUGAAGGCCCAGAGAACAGUCCAGAUAGACUGAAGGCUAGGGAGGGCGGACCAGACAUGUUGAAGGGUCUAAGAGUGGGCCAGAUAGACUGAGAGCCUGGUGAGGGCGAUUCAGUCAUGCUGCAAUGCAGACUCUAUAUGCAUGUUGUUUGUUAUGAUAUGGUUAUGGUUUGUAUGACGUUGGUAUUUUGGGGGAACUUAGGGGCUGUGUGAUAGCCUCUUAAUUGAAAAGCUAAUAGGCAAUAUUUGAAGUUUUAAGAUUAAGACUGUUUGGAAGGGUAUGAAAAAAAGCCUCUUAAUUCUUUAAAAACAUCUUAAAGUUUCAGAUGUAAUAUUACAUCUGAAUUAAAAAAAGACGUGUCUGGCCCUUGCCCUAAUAAAAUUCCAGCUGCUUCUUUUUUCCUUUAUGGAACCUCAUCCCCUUUCUUCUACCUCUCAGUCUGUAAUAAUCGUUGGUGUGCUCCCCACCGCCAUUGAUGAAGCUGAUGCCCGUUUGGACGCCUCUGUCAACAACUUCGACUAUUGUAGGUAAGGUUUUUUCCCUCCUAAAAAACCAUUCUUAGCACAUACAUCGAUUUCUUCAUCUCGUUUCAGGUAAGUCGAAAAUCUGAGAGGAUUUUCCCGUCGGUUCACCGUUCUCAUCCACCUGCUACAUCCCUCGACUUGUGUCAUUCCUCCUGGUACUUCGGAUGAUCGCGGGAAGGUGAACACUUAAUCGUGCACCUCCUUACAUUUUAUGAUUUUGAUUUUGGGGAUACUCUGAUAUGAAACUAUUUUGAAAAUAUUUUGUAAUAAAUAGUGGUUUUUGGAUGCUUGAAAAGGUUUUAAAUUUUCAUGAAUUUUAUGGAUGUUACACCUCACGCCAACUAACAAUAAAUACAAUCUUAAUUAAUAAUUAACCAGAUUAGUGUUACAAAAUGUGACCUACUUUUAGCUAAGGAACCGGAGUUAACUACUGAAGUUGAAGAAGUUUAUGUGUGAACCGCAACCGCAACCGCAACCGCAACUACUACCGCAGAGAUGAAUGAUGAAGACUUUCAAGUUACUUUUCUGACUUAGCGUGUUUACUUAGUUUUAUCCAGUGAACCUUGCAUGGUCACUGAAGUUAGUAGAAUAGUAUUUGUUUACUGUCAAUGCAACUUUUCGGGACUCUAUAAAUAGAGACUCCCUCUUCUUGUAUCAAACACACAUUCACGAUCUUUCUGAAAUAUUAUUGCAAUACAAA